rnacentral:rRNA from 1 species
CUCCUUUGACGUUAGCGGCGGACGGGUGAGUAACACGUGGGUAACCUACCUAUAAGACUGGGAUAACUUCGGGAAACCGGAGCUAAUACCGGAUAAUAUUUCGAACCGCAUGGUUCGAUAGUGAAAGGUGGUUUUGCUAUCACUUAUAGAUGGACCCGCGCCGUAUUAGCUAGUUGGUAAGGUAACGGCUUACCAAGGCGACGAUACGUAGCCGACCUGAGAGGGUGAUCGGCCACACUGGAACUGAGACACGGUCCAGACUCCUACGGGAGGCAGCAGGU